rnacentral:rRNA from 1 species
UACGGGGGGAGCGAGCGUUGUUCGGAGUUACUGGGCGUAAAGAGUGCGUAGGCGGUUUUCUAAGUUUGGUGUGAAAUCUCCCGGCUUAACUGGGAGGGUGCGCCGAAAACUGGAAGGCUUGAGUAUGGGAGAGGUAAGCGGAAUUCCUGGUGUAGCGGUGAAAUGCGUAGAUAUCAGGAGGAACACCUGCGGUGUAGACGGCUUACUAGGCUUCAACUGACGCUGAGGCACGAAAGUGUGGGGAGCAAACAGG